rnacentral:rRNA from 1 species
UGGGGAAUUUUGGACAAUGGGCGCAAGCCUGAUCCAGCAAUGCCGCGUGCAGGAUGAAGGCCUUCGGGUUGUAAACUGCUUUUGUACGGAACGAAACGGCUCUGUCUAAUACAUGGGGCUAAUGACGGUACCGUAAGAAUAAGCACCGGCUAACUACGUGCCAGCAGCCGCGGUAAUACGUAGGGUGCGAGCGUUAAUCGGAAUUACUGGGCGUAAAUCGUGCCCAGGCGGUUAUAUAAGACAGAUGUGAAAUCCCCGGGCUCAACCUGGGAACUGCAGUUGUGACUGUAUGGCUAGAGUACGGCAGAGGGGGAUGGAAUUCCGCGUGUAGCAGUGAAAUGAGUAGAUAUGCGGAGGAACACCGGUGGCGAAGGCAAUCCCAUGGGCCUGUACUGACGCUCAUGCACGAAAGCGUGGGGAGCAAACA